rnacentral:rRNA from 1 species
UUUUACAAUGGAGAGUUUGAUCCUGGCUCAGGAUGAACGCUAGCGGCAGGCCUAAUACAUGCAAGUCGGACGGGAUCCGUCGGAGAGCUUGCUCGAAGACGGUGAGAGUGGCGCACGGGUGCGUAACGCGUGAGCAACCUACCUCUAUCAGGGGGAUAGCCUCUCGAAAGAGAGAUUAACACCGCAUAACAUAUCUGACCGGCAUCGGUUUGAUAUUAAAUAUUUAUAGGAUAGAGAUGGGCUCGCGUGACAUUAGCUAGUUGGUAGGGUAACGGCUUACCAAGGCGACGAUGUCUAGGGGCUCUGAGAGGAGAAUCCCCCACACUGGUACUGAGACACGGACCAGACUCCUACGGGAGGCAGCAGUAAGGAAUAUUGGUCAAUGGGCGGAAGCCUGAACCAGCCAUGCCGCGUGCAGGAUGACUGCCCUAUGGGUUGUAAACUGCUUUUGUCCAGGAAUAAACCUAGAUACGUGUAUCUAGCUGAAUGUACUGGAAGAAUAAGGAUCGGCUAACUCCGUGCCAGCAGCCGCGGUAAUACGGAGGAUCCGAGCGUUAUCCGGAUUUAUUGGGUUUAAAGGGUGCGUAGGCGGCCUAUUAAGUCAGGGGUGAAAUACGGUGGCUCAACCAUCGCAGUGCCUUUGAUACUGAUGGGCUUGAAUCCAUUUGAAGUGGGCGGAAUAAGACAAGUAGCGGUGAAAUGCAUAGAUAUGUCUUAGAACUCCGAUUGCGAAGGCAGCUCACUAAGCUGGUAUUGACGCUGAUGCACGAAAGCGUGGGGAUCGAACAGGAUUAGAUACCCUGGUAGUCCACGCCCUAAACGAUGAUAACUCGAUGUUGGCGAUAGACAGCCAGCGUCCAAGCGAAAGCGUUAAGUUAUCCACCUGGGGAGUACGCCCGCAAGGGUGAAACUCAAAGGAAUUGACGGGGGCCCGCACAAGCGGAGGAGCAUGUGGUUUAAUUCGAUGAUACGCGAGGAACCUUACCCGGGCUUGAAAGUUAGUGAAGAGUGCAGAGACGCACUCGUCCUUCGGGACACGAAACUAGGUGCUGCAUGGCUGUCGUCAGCUCGUGCCGUGAGGUGUUGGGUUAAGUCCCGCAACGAGCGCAACCCCUAUGUUUAGUUGCCAGCA